UAGGGAAUCUUCCGCAAUGGACGAAAGUCUGACGGAGCAACGCCGCGUGAGUGAAGAAGGAUUUCGGUUCGUAAAACUCUGUUGUUAGGGAAGAAAAAAUGUAUAGUAACUAUAUACAAAAGAGACGGUACCUAACCAGAAAGCCACGGCUAACUACGUGCCAGCAGCCGCGGUAAUACGUAGGUGGCAAGCGUUGUCCGGAAUUAUUGGGCGUAAAGCUCGCGCAGGUGGUUUAGAAAGUCUGAUGUGAAAGCCCACGGCUCAACCGUGGAGGGUCAUUGGAAACUAAUAAACUUGAGUGCAGGAGAGAAAAGUGGAAUUCCUAGUGUAGCGGUGAAAUGCGUAGAGAUUAGGAGGAACACCGGUGGCGAAAGCGGCUUUUUGGCCUGCAACUGACACUGAGGAGCGAAAGCGUGGGGAGCAAAUAGG
rnacentral:rRNA from 1 species